CUACGUAGGGUGCGAGCGUUAAUCGGAAUUACUGGGCGUAAAGCGUGCGCAGGCGGUUUUGUAAGACAGUGGUGAAAUCCCCGGGCUCAACCUGGGAACUGCCAUUGUGACUGCAAGGCUGGAGGGCGGCAGAGGGGGAUGGAAUUCCGCGUGUAGCAGUGAAAUGCGUAGAUAUGCGGAGGAACACCGAUGGCGAAGGCAAUCCCCUGGGCCUGCACUGACGCUCAUGCACGAAAGCGUGGGGAGCAAACAGGAUUAGAUACCCUGGUAGUCCACGCCCUAAACGAUGUCAACUGGUUGUUGGGAAUUUAUUUUCUCAGUAACGAAGCUAACGCGUGAAGUUGACCGCCUGGGGAGUACGGCCGCAAGGUUAAAACUCAAAUGAAUUGACGGGG
rnacentral:rRNA from 1 species